rnacentral:rRNA from 1 species
UACGUAGGGUGCAAGCGUUAAUCGGAAUUACUGGGCGUAAAGCGUGCGCAGGCGGUCGCGUAAGCCUGAUGUGAAAUCCCCGGGCGCAACUUGGGAACUGCAUUUGGUACUGCGUGGCUGGAGUGCGGCAGAGGAAGGUGGAAUUCCUGGUGUAGCAGUGAAAUGCGUUGAGAUCAGGAGGAACACCGAUGGCGAAGGCAGCCUUCUGGGCCAGCACUGACGCUCAUGCACGAAAGCGUGGGGAGCAAACAGG